UUCCUCUUUACCGUUACCUUGCAGAAAACCUUUCUGGUAUAAGAUAAUCAAAUCAGCACAGUAUGAGUUCAAAUGAUCCAGCAGACCCAAGUACUAUGCUUGGGGUCCCAUCAGUCUCCAGUUUCAGGAGACAAAUCAAACCCCAAGAGAAGCAACACUGCCUGCAAUAGAGAGACGCCCUUUGGAUUCAGCUUCUCUUCUCCACUCCAGCAAGAUGCACAUACAACUUCAAAAUGGUCAAAUAUACAAUAUCCCAACCAGUAUCUACGACCAUAAGAGGGGAGUUCAUUCAUACUAAGAAAUGUUGCCUGAAUUUCACAGUGUCUUCCUAACUUAUAAGGUUAUUUUAUGUAAUUCAUUCUUUAUCUGACAAAUGAGUUGCAUAGCUACAACUUCCUAAUUACAGGACAGAUCUUCAGUCAUCAGCACAGGGACUUGGGAAUAUCCAGGGCAGAGUGCGGUGUAAUGAAGGCAGAUGAGCUGUGGCACUGUAAUGGAUAAGGAAUGAACCCGACCUGAACCUAACAACAGUUCAGUUAAAAACUACACUGAAAAAUGGAUGAUUUUAAAAGUAAUUGCUAUGUAAAGCCAUAGCUUAGAGAACUUUGGGCUCCUUUUUAUACUGAUUACAUAAAAGGAAGAUCAGAGAAUUCUACGUAUGUAUUGUACGUGGAAGAUUUAAAAGAAAAUCCCACAAAAUAAAAGCAAACUGUCCUAUAGAUGAGUGGAAGCUUUACUUUGUAAAAUAAGUGUCUAGUUUGGCUUGUGACUUGAGAAUAAAAUAAUAUACAUUAGAAUGGAGAUAUAAGUUUAUUUUUUUUGAAACAUUCAAAGAAGAAUGAAAACAAAAUUUAAUUCAUGUUUUAUAUAUGUGGGGCUUUUUUUCAAUAAAAAAUAAUACUUUCU
rnacentral:lncRNA from 1 species